AGUGAAUAGAUACCCCGGUAGUCCACGCCGUAAACGAUGGUCACUAGGUGCUGGGGGAGCGACCCUUCAGUGCCGCAGCUAAACGCGUUAAGUGACCCGCCUGGGGAGGUACGGCCGCAAGGCUGAAACUACAAAGGAAUUGACGGGGGCCCGGCACAAGCGGUGGAGCAUGUGGUUUAAAUUCGAAGCAACGCGAAGAACCUUACCUAGGUUUGACAUGCACUUGAAAUCUUCUGGAAACAGGGGACCUUCUUCGGAACAAGUGCACAGGUGCUGCAUGGCUGUCGUCAGCUCGUGUCGUGAGAUGUUGGGUUAAGUCCCGCAACGAGCGCAACCCUUGCCCGUGUUACUAACAGGUAAAGCUGAGGACUCUCGGGGGUACUGCCGGCGUCAAGCCGGAGGAAGGUGGGGACGACGUCAAGUCAUCAUGGCCCUUACGCCUAGGGCGACACACGUGCUACAAUGGCGAGGACAGAGGGCAGCGAAGCGGUAACGUGAAGCGAAUCCCAGAAACCUCGUCUAAGUUCGGAUUGUGGGCUGCAACUCGCCCAC
rnacentral:rRNA from 1 species